rnacentral:sRNA from 1 species
GCCGUGAGGUGUUGCCUUAAGUGGCGCAACGAGCGCAACCCCUGUCCUUAGUUGCCAGCGGGUAAAGCCGGGAACUCUAGGGAGACUGCCGGUGCCAAACCGGAGGAAGGUGGGGAUGACGUCAAGUCAUCAUGCCCCUUAUGUCCAGGGCUGCACGCAUGCUACAAUGCGCGGUACAAAGGGCUGCGAUCCCGCAAGGGGGAGCGAAUCCCAAAAAGCCGCGCUCAGUUCGGAUCGGGGUCUGCAACCCGACCCCGUGAAGUCGGAGUCGCUAGUAAUCGCAGAUCAGCAAUGCUGCGGUGAAUACGUUCCCGGGCCUUGUACACACCGCCCGUCACACCACGAAAGUGGGCAACACCCGAAGCCGGUGGCCCAACCCUUUGGGAGGGAGCCGUCGAAGGUGGGGCUCGCGAUUGGGGUGAAGUCGUAACAAGGUAGCCGUAGGGGAACCUGCGGCUGGAUCACCUCCUUUCUGGAGCGACGAGUACGCUCGGUGCACCCCCUACACGGGAACCCGAGACGAAAGUCCUCAGAAGUCGCCCGCACUCUAUCGCUUUCUAGCUUGCAUCACUUCUUCUUGGCGGGCCCCGUGGGGUCCGCCCUGCUCUUUGACAAUCGACGAAUGGAUGGUUUGCCUGGAGGCGCCCGGGUGCUCGCUUGCGAGUGCACGGAUGUCGUCAGGCAGGGUGUGAGGAAUCAACACCGGUCGUCCUGAUCCGAUCGCAGGAUCGGGAACGACAUGAGAUUUGAGAUCAAACGCAAUAAGGCACACGGUGGAUGCCUUGGCAUCGAGAGGCGAUGAAGGGCGUGAUAAGCUGCGAUAAGCCUGGGGGAGCUGCACAUGAGCCGUGAUCCCAGGAUGC